CAUCCUUGGGAUACCACCCUUGUAGUACUGGGACUCUAACCAUAGGCCAUGAAUCUGGUCUUGGGACACUGUCAGGUGGGCAGUUUGACUGGGGCGGUCGCCUCCCAACCGGUAACGGAGGCGCUCCAAGGUUCUCUCAGUACGGUCGGAAAUCGUACGUAGAGUGUAAAGGCAAAAGAGAGCUUGAUUGCAAGACAUACAGGUCGAGCAAGGAUGAAAAUCGGACUUAGUGAUCC
rnacentral:rRNA from 1 species